GCAUAUCAAUAAGCGGAGGAAAAGAACCCAACAGGGAUUGCCCUAGUAACGGCGAGUGAAGCGGCAACAGCUCAAAUUUGAAAUCUGGCCCUUUCAGGGUCCGAGUUGUAAUUUGUAGAGGGUGCUUUGGCGUUGGCUGUGGUCUAAGUUCCUUGGAACAGGACGUCGCAGAGGGUGAGAAUCCCGUAUGUGGCCGCCAGUCUUCGCCGUGUAAAGCCCCUUCGACGAGUCGAGUUGUUUGGGAAUGCAGCUCUAAAUGGGAGGUAAAUUUCUUCUAAAGCUAAAUAUUGGCCAGAGACCGAUAGCGCACAAGUAGAGUGAUCGAAAGAUGAAAAGCACUUUGGAAAGAGAGUCAAAAAGCACGUGAAAUUGUUGAAAGGGAAGCGCUUGCAGCCAGACUUGCCUGUAGUUGCUCAUCCGGGCUUUUGCCCGGUGCACUCUUCUAUGGGCAGGCCAGCAUCAGUCCCAGCGGUUGGAUAAAUGCCUGUUGAAUGUACCUCUCUUCGGGGAGGACUUAUAGCUUCGGGCGGCAUACAACCAGCCGGGAUUGAGGUCCGCGCAUCUGCUAGGAUGCUGGCGUAAUGGCUGUAAGCGGCCCGUCUUGAAACACGGACCAAGGAGUCUAACAUCUAUGCGAGUGUUUGGGUGUCAAGCCCGAGCGCGUAAUGAAAGUGAACGGAGGUGGGAACCCCUCGGGGCGCACCAUCGACCGAUCCUGAUGUCUUCGGAUGGAUUUGAGUAAGAGCAUAGCUGUUGGGACCCGAAAGAUGGUGAACUAUGCCUGAAUAGGGUGAAGCCAGAGGAAACUCUGGUGGAGGCUCGCAGCGGUUCUGACGUGCAAAUCGAUCGUCAAAUUUGGGCAUAGGGGCGAAAGACUAAUCGAACCAUCUAGUAGCUGGGUUCCUGCGA
rnacentral:rRNA from 1 species